AUGGAGGUGUUUCCUACAGUUAAAUGGAGGUGUUUCCCUACAGUUAGAUGGAGGAUUUCCCUAGUUAGAUGGAGGUAUCAGUUAGAUGGAGGUGUUUCCUACAGUUAGAUGGAGGUAUCAGUUAGAUGGAGGUAUCAGUGAUGGCGGUACAGUUAGAUGGAGUAUCAGUUAGAUGGAGGUAUACACCUCCAUCUAACUGAUACCUCCAUCUAACUGUAGGGAAACACCUCCAUCUAACUGAUACCUCCAUCUAACUGUAGGAAAUACCUCCAUCUAACUGUAGGAAACACCUCCAUCUAACUA
rnacentral:lncRNA from 1 species